AUGGAGGGGAUCAGGGCCGGUUCUUUUCUCAUGAGAUCCCUCCAGAAGCCCGGAGGAGGGCUCAGCCUCGUCUGCAAGGCCUCCGGGUUCACCUUCAGCAGUUACUGCAUGCAGUGGGUGCGACAGGCGCCCGGCAAAGGGCUGGAAUGGGUCGCUGGUAUUGAUGAUGAUGGUAGUUUCACACUCUACGGGGCGGCGGUGAAGGGCCGUGCCACCAUCUCGAGGGACGACGGGCAGAGCACAGUGAGGCUGCAACUGAACAACCUCAGGGCUGAGGACACCGCCAUCUACUACUGCGCCAAGGGUGCUUACAGUGGUUGUAGUAGUAGUGGUUCUUGUUAUGCUGGUCCUGGUCACACGGACGGCACGGGGACACGAAUUCAUCUGCAUCUGGGAUGGUUCCCCCCGGGAUGCAGAGCUUUGUGA